rnacentral:rRNA from 1 species
UACAGAGGGUGCAAGCGUUGUUCGGAUUCAUUGGGCGUAAAGGGUGUGUAGGUGGCGCGCUAAGUCGGGUGUGAAAUUUCGGAGCUUAACUCCGAAACUGCAUUCGAUACUGGCGUGCUUGAGGACUGGAGAGGAGACUGGAAUUUACGGUGUAGCAGUGAAAUGCGUAGAUAUCGUAAGGAAGACCAGUGGCGAAGGCGGGUCUCUGGACAGUUCCUGACACUGAGACACGAAGGCCAGGGGAGCAAACGGG